rfam:Triticum aestivum genome assembly, contig: Triticum_aestivum_CS42_TGACv1_scaffold_392600_5AS
UUAAUACUCCCUCCGUCCCAAAAUUCUUGUCUUAGAUUAGUCUGGAUACGGAUGUAUCUAAUACUAAAACGUGACUUGAUACAUCCGUAUUUAGACAAAUUUAAGACAAGAAUUUUGGGACGGAGGGAGUAUAUA